GUAGUAGUGGGUGUAGCGUACCUACUAGCCUACGACGGGUACGGGUUGUGAGAGCAAGAGCCCGGAGAUGGAUUCUGAGACACGAAUCCAGGCCCUACGGGGUGCAGCAGGCGCGAAAACUUUACAAUGCUGGCAACAGCGAUAAGGGAACCUCGAGUGCCAGGUUACAAAUCUGGCUGUCGUGAUGCCUAAAAAGCAUUGCAUAGCAAGGGCCGGGCAAGACCGGUGCCAGCCGCCGCGGUAACACCGGCGGCUCGAGUGGUAACCGUUAUUAUUGGGUCUAAAGGGUCUGUAGCCGGCCGGAUAAGUCUCUUGGGAAAUCUGGCAGCUUAACUGUCAGGCUUUCAGGAGAUACUGUCUGGCUCGAGGCCGGGAGAGGUGAGAGGUACUUCAGGGGUAGGGGUGAAAUCUUGUAAUCCUUGAAGGACCACCAGUGGCGAAGGCGUCUCACCAGAACGGACCUGACGGCAAGGGACGAAAGCUAGGGGCACGAACCGGAUUAGAUACCCGGGUAGUCCUAGCCGUAAACGAUACUCGCUAGGUGUCGGCCACGGUGCGACCGUUGUCGGUGCCGUAGGGAAGCCGUGAAGCGAG
rnacentral:rRNA from 1 species